AUCGCUUCUCGGCCUUUUGGCUAAGAUCAAGUGUAGUAUCUGUUCUUAUCAGUUUAAUAUCUGAUAUGUCUUCUAUCAGAGGACAACUAUAUUAAGUGCAUUUUUGUAGCAGGAAGUUGGAGUAGGAGCUUGCUCCAUCCACUUCACGCAUCGGCCUGAUAUUGCAGUGCUUUCAGGAGCGGUGCACCUGUA